UAAAUUUUUUUCUUUAUUUUAGUCUCCUUUGGCUUGAUUUAUGAGAACCAUCUGAAGAAAUUUGACAAUGGUGGUGUUUUGGAGAUGUGCCUUGGUUUCUAACUUGGCUGAUUGUGCUUUGAAGUUUCAAAAGGACACAGAGGAGGCCCUAGAAGAUGUCAACAGCACAAGUGGAGAAGCCAGAUCCCAAAUCACCAGGGAAGGCCAGCUGGCAAAACUUGUUUGGACUAUGAUAGAAUUUGGAAAAACAAUUUGGAGAAAAAAAUUAUAUCAUUCAACAGAUUUUGCUUUUGUUGUUGUUUUGUGGGAUUUAAAAAAAAAUUCUAAUCAGACUUGCAAAGGUGUGUUAAGAAUAAACAAUAAAUGGAAUACUGAGAUUGUAAGAUAUCUUUUAACCUAUCAAAAUCUUCAAGAAACAGUCUCAAAGAUUUAGAAGAAACAGAGGAAACUCUGACAACAGCCCUUGAAGUAUCUUACAGAAAUAAUUUUCCAUAUAUGAAAAGUUUUAAAAUGAAAUGCUUAUGUUUGUGAUCUUAAAGUACGCUAGUAUAGAAAAUCUUUCUAAUUCCACUAAAAGUUUGAAAGCAAAAUGUUUUUAAAUUUCUUUCCAAACUAUAUUAGUGUAUUUAAUUGAAAUAAUUUCAAUUUUUUAGGGAACAAAUCAUAGUUGAGAAAAUAAAACCUAUUUCUCAUCAUUUUUAUAUUCUUUU
rnacentral:lncRNA from 1 species